GACGAACGCUGGCGGCGUGCUUAACACAUGCAAGUCGAACGGGCCCGCCCCUGUUUUUGGGGGUGGGUUGAGUGGCGAACGGGUGAGUAUCACGUGAGUAACCUGCCCCCUGCUCCUGGAUAACUGCUUGAAAGGGCGGCUAAUACGGGGUGUGCCGGCUGGUCCGCAUGGGCCUGGUCGGGAUAGUUUCAUCUUCGGGUGUUUCGGUGGGGGAUGGGCUCGCGGCCUAUCAGCUUGUUGGUGGGGUGAUGGCCCACCAAGGCGGUGACGGGUAGCCGGCCUGGGAGGGUGGGCGGCCACACUGGGACUGAGACACGGCCCAGACUCCUGCGGGAGGCAGCAGUGGGGGGUAUUGCACAAUGGGCGGAAGCCUGAUGCAGCGACGUCGCGUGAGGGAUGGAGGCCGUCGGGUGGUGAACCUCUUUCUCCGGUGGGGAAGGCCCUGUCCGGUGCGGCGGGGUUGACGGUAGCCGGGGAUGAAGCGCCGGCUAACUACGUG
rnacentral:rRNA from 1 species